rnacentral:lncRNA from 1 species
UCUACAUAGAUGCUGGCUCAGCACUGAGAGGCUGUGUGGAACGUGAUUCACCAAGGCAGUUCUGGGCAGAGCCGAUGACCUGGAAAACUCACUCUUGACCUUUCUGGCCGUGGUAUCCUCUUGUCUCAUAGUGGUUACAAUCACAGUGAUCAGUGUUUAACAAUUCUUCAAGUAUAUAUUAAAAUAGUCGAAUCCUCAUCUACUUCAGAUUGACUCUAAAUAUUAACAAAAGGGUAUCCAAAAAGUGAAAAUUGAUUUUGCAAUUUAAAAAAUAAUUAAUACAAGCCUGUAAAACAGCAAAAAUUAAUAUACUUGUUUCCAAAACAAAAGAAUGUAAACAGCUGUCAUAGAGUAGAAAAGCAUUUCUAGGUCUGAUGUGGAAAAUGCAGGGACUUUAAUGUGCAUUUGUUAAGAGGCAAUGAACCAAGGGAUCAGAGCAUGGCAUUUUGAGUCAGACACAUUUGGGUUCAGACGCUAAGCCUUAUUUUCCCCAUUGGUAAGAUGGGGUUACAUAUAGGACCUCUUGUGUAAAGCACUCAGGAUUAAAUGAGAAUAUGUGUGAGGCAUUUAACAGAAUGCCUUACUCUGUCCAGACACAAUAGAGCUAGCAUCAGCAUCAUUAUAGAUAUACUUGCUUACAAUCGAUGGGGCUCUACCUUCCUGACUGAAGCACUCAACAGUUUGCUACUCAUUCUCUCUAAAAACUUAACUUCUCGGGGCCGGCCCGGUGGCGCAGCGGUUAAGUUCGCACGUUCCGCUUCUCGGCGGCCCGGGGUUCGCUGGUUCGGAUCCCGGGUGCGGACAUGGCACUGCCUGGCAGCCGUGCUGUGGUAGGCAUCCCACGUAUAAACUAGAGGAAGAUGGGCACGGAUGUUAGCUCAGAGCCAGGCUUCCUCAGCAAAAAGAGGAGGACUGGCAGUAGUUAGCUGAGGGCUAAUCUUCCUCCAAAAACAAACAAACAAACAAACAAAACUUAACUUCUCAAUGAAUUUCUGCAGCAGGAAAGAAU